UGCCCCCAUUUUCGUGAACCUCGGGAACUGAGGGUAAACCACGAUAGAUGAUCCUUCCUGGAAUGGUGGAUCGUCCAAACUCGUGCUAUAGGAUGGGCCGGCGGCUGAUUAGGCUGUUGGUGGGGUAACGGCCCACCAAACCAAAGAUCAGUACGGGCCAUGAGAGUGGUAGCCCGGAGAGGGACACUGAGAUACGGGUCCCAGCCCUACGGGGUGCAGCAGGCGCGAAAACUCUACAAUGCACGCAAGUGUGAUAGGGGGAUACUCAGUGCUUACGCCUAUGGUGUAGGCUUUUGUCGAGUGUAGCUAGCUCGGCGAAUAAGUGGUGGGCAAGACCGGUGCCAGCCGCCGCGGUAACACCGGCGCCACGAGUGGUCGUCACGAUUAUUGGGCCUAAAGCGUCCGUAGCUGGUAUGGUGCAUCCCUUGUGAAAUUGUGCGGCUUAACCGCACAGCGUGCAGGGGACACGGCCAUACUCGAGACCGGGAGGCGUGCGAGGUAUUCCAUAGGGACCGGUAAAAUGGGAUAAUCUAUGGAGGACCACCGAUGGCGAAGGCAUCGCACGAGAACGGAUCUGACAGUGAGGGACGAAAGCCAGGGGAGCGAACCGGAUUAGAUACCCGAGUAGUCCUGGCCGUAAACGCUGUGAGCAAGGUGUCGGGCAUCCCAAGAGGAUGCCCGGUGUCGCAACGAAGGUGAUAAGCUCACCGCCUGGGAAGUACGGUCGCAAGACUGAAACUUUAAGGAAUUGGCGGGGGAGCAC
rnacentral:rRNA from 1 species